UACGGAGGGUGCAAGCGUUAUCCGGAUUCAUUGGGCGUAAAGAGCUUGUAGGUGGCCGGCUAAGUUGGACGUGAAACCCCCGGGCUUAACUCGGGGCGGCCGUUCAAUACUGGUGGGCUGGAGGGCGUCAGAGGGCAGUGGAAUCCCUGGUGUAGCAGUGAAAUGCGUAGAUAUCAGGGGGAACACCCGUGGCGAAGGCGGCUGCCUGGGGCGCGCCUGACACUGAGAAGCGAAAGCUAGGGGAGCAAACGGG
rnacentral:rRNA from 1 species